AAUAGUCCCGAUUAUUUCUCUUCGCCAAAUUGUCGAGAUUGGAUCUGAGCUCUCUCGUUCUUGUUCCUCCAUCCUCACGGCGUCAUGACGGCGUCGAGCCGUCGACACUGCAGACCACACCGGAGUCCGUCGAACGUACACUGUCUCAGAAGGGCACAAUGGUGAAUUUGAACGCAAGAUCCUGCUGGUAGGAGACCGAGUACAAUACAUCGACAACUUGCUAGGGAUGCGUCAGGUAAUGUGCAGGCUUCAGAGGAAAGAGAUGAUGCACAUUACUCAUUUCUGCAAGUUCUUUAGUGUUGUGCAUCUUGGAUGCUUCUUCAUCCGAUGGGAGUGUAAUUUUCGUAUUUAGGACAAAGCAUGUCUAGAGGUUCAAAACAAAGAAAAUGAAACUCAAGGUCCAAUUUCAAGUGAACAUAGAAACAAUAUUUUGCAGACCGCAUAUAAAGACACUCUACAAUGCAAGUCUUCUCAGCCUCGUGGGUAUGGAUACAUGGCCAAAUCACCAAGUGGUUCAGAAAGGAUUAAGUCCCAGUUUGAAGAGCAAGCUCGUGCUAAAGCAUAGACCCAAAAGGUAAACUCUGAGCUCAGCCAUCAGAUCACCAAGUUACAAGAUCAGUAACAAGCUGAAUGUGAAAGCACACAAGAGAGGAUUAACUUGAAGUGUGCUGAGAGAGAAAACCUUGAGGAGAGGUUAAAAGAAGAGCGUGCUGAAAGGGAAACAUUGUUGGAAGAGGAGCGAAGAUCAAUACUGGAAUUUGAGAAAAACAUGAUGGAAAAGUUUGCGCAGUUGUCCCAAUAGACGGGAACCAACAGACGCAAACACAUCAGACGCCUGAGAAAAGGACUAGCAACGAAAAUAGUAAUCCAAACUUGGAAAUUACUCUUUUACAGACCGCUAGUACUACUGGGACUAUAGGUACAAGGCACAAUGUAAUUGCUCCAAAUACACUCAUACAAGCCGCAACAAUGAAUUCUUGAAUGUUUCGAGCAAUGGUAAGUCACAAGCUUGGUUUGUCUUCAUGUUGACCUUUAUUUGAUACGUAAAUGGCCUUCAUAAUUGUCUACUUGCUUGCACUACUGUACUUUUUUGUUGUUGAAGCACAUACAAUAGGGAAGCCAGAAAUAGAACCGUUUUCUCACCAUUAGAAAUUGUGAACUUGCGCAAGCAUGUAGUUGUUUCGGAGAAGUUUAGUUGUUCGAUUAAUUUAGGUAAUUAUUCUUGUGUUUGAACUACAAAAUCUUUUGUGAAAUUAUUCAAUUCUUUUUGCAUUUCACCUAAUUGUUGAUGGAGUAGUACAUCAGGCACAGGCAUUUGCUUCCUAGCUGUUGUGGUCAUAACAAUUGGGCGUGAAGGUACCCAUGCAUGCACGAAUAUAGUAAUUAUACAAUUGUCAUGACAGUGGUUAUAUCUUCUAUUGCUUCUUUAUUUUCCUGACUAAGUAUUUUCUAAGCUAAAUAAUUUUUCUCUCUUCAUAGCAGGAUACAAAGAUUUAACUGGAAUGGACUCUAGACCAUAGACAAUUUAGUCUUUGCUCUUGAUUAUGAUGGCAAAUUCAAUAUGUUGAAUGCGUGCUAAAUUAUAUUUCAGUUUCAUUUGAUGGACAUUGGCUAUGCAAACUUUGAUAUUUUAUGAAUCUACAUCAUAUAUGCAUUAUUUGAAGCAUGUAAUUGAAUGCCAGUAUAUUUUUUUACA